rnacentral:sRNA from 1 species
AGCCGGUGGCAGCACAGCCAGGACAGCCAUUUCCUCAGCAGCCUUCGGUAAAGGCAACAGAUUCUGACGGUAACUGUGUAUCAGUUGGAAUUACUGCACUAACUUUGAGGGCCAUACUCAAGGACUCCAAUAAUAACCAAGUCAAUGGCCUUAGUGGAAAUACAACAAUUCCGUUUAGCAGCUGUUGGGCCAACUACACAGACCUUACUCCCCUUAGAACAGGAAAAAAUUAUAAGAUUGAAUUUAUACUGGAUAAUGUUGUUGGGGUAGAAUCCAGAACUUUCAGCCUGCUGGCAGAGUCUGUCUCUAGCAGUGGCAGCAGCAGCAGUAGUAGCAGCAGCAGUGGCAGCAGCAGCAGCAGCAACAGCAACGCAUCAACUGUGGGUACAUAUGCCCAGAUAAUGACUGUAGUAAUUAGCUGUCUGAUUGGAAGAAUGUGGCUCUUGGAAAUAUUUAUGGCUGCAGUUUCAACUUUGAAUAUAACUUUAAGUAAGUA